UAAGAGGCGUGGCCGGAAGUGGGAGAGAGGGGGCCCAGGUGCAGAGAGCGGGAGGAGGUGGAGAUGUCCUGGAGACAGCUGGAAUUACUGAUCGAUAGCUAAGAAGAAGAGAGAGCUAGGUGAGAUGUAGCCAUUUCAAAGUUGUUGUAUCCAAGUGGUAAAACCACAGGAGUAGGUGGAAAAGCCUGGAGAGACUGUACAGAAUAAGAAGAUGAGGAAAGAAUUCUGGGAAACAUCAAAAUUUAAGAGACUGUCAGAAAGAGAAAGGAUCCAGAAAAACAAUGAGGAUGAAAGAACAUCAUGGAGGAAGGAAAGGCACCAAGGAAGAAGAGGCAAAAGAACCAAGGAGAGAGGAGAGCUAGGGGAGAAAAUGUCCGGCAGCAACGGCCACCAGCAUGAGAUACAGAGGGAGACCAAACAAUACCAGCGUCACUGGUGACUUGAGCAAGACCAGUUCAUGUAGAAAGUGGAUAACUAUGUUUAUGAAAGAUCAUACAUAUAUAUACAUACACACAUAUCUGGCUUCCUUAGUAUUACAAUUUAAAGAUUCACAAAUUAUUGAAAGCUUUUUCAAACCAACCCUUUGGGUAAUAAAAUUAAGAUGAACCAUU